CCUACGGGUGGCAGCAGUGAGGAAUAUUGGUCAAUGGACGAGAGUCUGAACCAGCCAAGUAGCGUGAAGGAUGACUGCCCUAUGGGUUGUAAACUUCUUUUAUGUGGGAAUAAAAUGUUCCACGUGUGGGAGUUUGUAUUUACCAUAUGAAUAAGGAUCGGCUAACUCCGUGCCAGCAGCCGCGGUAAUACGGAAGGUCCGAGCGUUAUCCGGAUUUAUUGGGUUUAAAGGGAGCGUAGGUUGAUUGUUAAGUCAGUUGUGAAAUUUUGCGGCUCAACCGUAAAAUUGCAGUUGAAACUGGAAGUCUUGAGUACAGUAGAGGUGGGCGGAAUUCGUGGUGUAGCGGUGAAAUGCUUAGAUAUCACGAAGAACCCCGAUUGCGAAGGCAGUUCACUGGACUGCAACUGACACUGAGGCUCGAAAGUGUGGGUAUCAAACAGGAUUAGAUACCCGUGUAGUC
rnacentral:rRNA from 1 species